ACUUCGAGGAAGCUGGAGGGCAGGGGAGCGGGUCGAGCGCCGCGUCAUCCACCGAGUAGGGUAGCGCCCUGCUGCCUCCCGGGAGGAAAGCCGGCUGCAUCCUCCAGGGGUGAAUCGCAGGUGUGGCCCCGUAACUUUUCAGAGGGCCGCUGCCUCCCAGCUGCAAACGCUGCAUUUCCGAAAGGCUGGAACAGAAGGAGCAGCAGCAGAGACCGCUAGAGGAGCGAUUUCGGGCUGCCUUUAAGGACCAAUUAGUAGUUCGUGAAAUCAACUAAUUUCUAUCUGGAAGGGGUGAAGUUUUUGUUUUAUAUGAAACAGAGUGAGAAAUUUCAGAGACAUCUCGGAAAGUCGAUGAGAAAACCGAGCGUGAUGGGUCAUUAAACGAGCCUGAUUUUACUGAGUAUUCAUUUGCUUCUUCAGAUUGGGCCCUUCUUUUUAAGCACAGUUUAAGUUCACCUUUAUUGGUAGUGAGCUGCUUAUUUUGCGAUUUGAUUUACAAAGGUAAGUAGGUUCUUUCUGAACAAUCAGAAUGUAAACUGAUGCUAAUGAG